AUUGUACUACCUCCGUCUUCAAUUACUUGUCGCAGAAAAGGAUGACUCUAGACGUAUUUUUAGUUCUAGAUACAUCCAUUUCUGCGACAAGUAAUUCGGGACGGAAGGAGUAUGAU
rnacentral:pre_miRNA from 1 species